CCAAAGUCAAAUAUUUUGCUGACUGAGUCACUCCAUGAGUCCUUGUCCCUUAGUUCCCCGGCAAUCAACCCACAGUCCCCACCCCCCAAUCUCCCCUUUCCUCUUUGCUCAAAUCUUAAAUUCUCAACCCCAUUGCCUUGCACGCAUUUCAAAGCUAUCGCCGCUGCUAAAAACUGAGAGAUCGUGAGAAAGAGAUGGAGUCAAAGAGGAGAGCAAUAACUCCCAUCGUUUGAGAUUCAGACACAUUGUCUUAGCCUUCUCGCUUCAGAUCAGCUGAAAAGUGUGCUUGUAAAAUAACUGUAGGAAAGAUGCGAGAUUGCCAAAUAUUGGUCCUGUAUGAGAGAGGAAAACUUGGAAAAAGGUCAUGGAGCCCCUGUGAGCCUUCAUAACCGCCCUCUUGACAAGUCGCUUGCAUAGUGCUGGGUUACUACCAUCUCUACCCCUUUCACUUCUCCUCUUUAAUUAUAGUCUAAAGAAUUUGGUCAUGAUUGGUUUUUUCACUUGAUUAUUAUAUCUGAAUUUCACAUGACUUUGGUCUCCGAGAAGAUUUGGUAAGAAUUAAUGAUAUAAUUGUAUUUUUAAGUUAUUUAAAUUAUGUAUAAAUUUUUAUUUGAAUUAUGUAUUUUAAGAUGUUCGGAUAUUUGUAUUAUUUAUUUCAUUUUUAUUUUAAUUGUGUUAUAUUAUUAUUUA